GAAAAGGCAGCUUUGUUUCCAGGACACUGUCUGAAAGAGUCAUACAAACAGAUAUUUUUUGCUCUGAUGUCCACUUGCCAUGACUGUCUGGGGAAGUGAGAAGUCUUUGAGGUGGCUACCAGACACUUUAUGAGUCUCCCUGAUGCCAUUCAUUCACUGAUCCUUCUACGCUGGGUAACACUCCAAACAUGAUCACAUUCUUCCAGUUCUACUGGGUGUGUACUGGUCAUUUGGGGAGGAUCUUCUAAGCUUCAGCUAA
rfam:Myotis lucifugus cont2.12973, whole genome shotgun sequence.